rnacentral:rRNA from 1 species
GACGAACGCUGGCGGCGUGCUUAACACAUGCAAGUCGAACGGUAAGGCCCCAGCUUGCUGGGGUACACGAGUGGCGAACGGGUGAGUAACACGUGGGUGACCUGCCCCGCACUUCGGGAUAAGCCUGGGAAACUGGGUCUAAUACCGGAUAGGACCGCACCGUGAGGGUGUGGUGGAAAGUUUUUCGGUGUGGGAUGGGCCCGCGGCCUAUCAGCUUGUUGGUGGGGUAAUGGCCUACCAAGGCGGCGACGGGUAGCCGGCCUGAGAGGGUGGACGGCCACAUUGGGACUGAGACACGGCCCAGACUCCUACGGGAGGCAGCAGUGGGGAAUAUUGCACAAUGGGCGGAAGCCUGAUGCAGCGUCGCCGCGUGGGGGAUGACGGCCUUCGGGUUGUAAACUCCUUUCACCAUCGACGAAGGUUUUCUGACGGUAGAUGGAGAAGAAGCACCGGCUAACUACGUG